rnacentral:rRNA from 1 species
UACCCUACGGGACGCAGCAGUGGGGAAUAUUGCACAAUGGGGGGAACCCUGAUGCAGCGACGCCGCGUGAGUGAAGAAGUAUUUCGGUAUGUAAAGCUCUAUCAGCAGGGAAGAAAAUGACGGUACCUGAGUAAGAAGCCCCGGCUAACUACGUGCCAGCAGCCGCGGUAAUACGUAGGGGGCAAGCGUUAUCCGGAUUUACUGGGUGUAAAGGGAGCGUAGACGGCGAUGCAAGUCUGAAGUGAAAGCCCGGGGCUCAACCCCGGGACUGCUUUGGAAACUGUAUGGCUG